GAAAUUGAUGAGCUAAAGUUUCAUCAAAAGUAAGGUAUAGAUUAUAGUGGGAGUUUCAAUACUUGAAACUUUGAUGAUUUUCUUCACUUUUUCGUAUAGGAAAAUAUGUUUUUAAUAUGUAUAAUGAAAUUAAUUACUUAAUCUAUUAUAGUAAUGUAAACCCUUUUUUUAGACUGCGAAUCACAACUUUAUUUAUGGACCGAUUUUCUUGAAAUUUCAAAAUGAAGUGUAACAUUUUAACCCGUUUACUUUUUUUCCAGUGAUGACUCUGGCAUCGAAUCGCCUGCAUCAAUCAGACAGUAGUGAUUCUGAUUCAGUAAUAUUUUAUCAUGUUUGGCAGAAUAAUGCGCAAUUUUCAUGCUCUACUAUUAAUGAUUUCAACAUCAACAUGGAGACUUGGAGAGCUUCAAUUUGUACAACUUUACGCCUCCCAGUAAUGCGCUAUACGUCGCUAUUACUUUUCAACGAACUCCUGGCCGUAGUUUGUUCAAACUAUUAAAGUUAAAUGACACGUUCGACUUAUAUCAGAAAUGGUUUGAGAAAAAGGAUAUUGACAACCAGUGUCAGCUAUGAAGCUGACGAUGAAGACGAAUAAAUUAUAAAACGAAGUUCUAUUUAUAUUUUUAAAUGUGAUUUUUAUUUAAUUAUGCGCAAAUGUGUUUGUGUAUGUGUUGUGUUUGUGAUUGUAUGUGGGUUUGCGUAUGUUAUGAAUGGAUGGUAUGUUAAUUACGCAUAGUCGUUUUUUAUAUUUUAAGAGCUGAAUGUUUUUGGUUUCUGUAUCAUAAUAUUAAACUACUGAUUACUAACA